CCCAGUUCUCCAACCCCAUAAAGUUAGAAUGCAGUCUGUGAGUACUCUCUGCUCUAAUCAAGAAGGAAGGGGCUUCAGCUUCAAAUGUCAAUGCUGUAAACAUGUUAAAUCUGGAAAAUAUUUUCUAAGCAAGCAACCAUGUGUAAAAUUUACCGAACUUGUCAUGAAAGGGCUGCAGCUGCAAACCUGCAAACUUCUCACUUCCAUGAAGACUCCAGAUGCUGAGACAGGGAAGAGAGGUUUCAGCUUGGCUCCCCAGCUGUUGCACCUUAGAGCUUUGCAUGCCGCCAUCUUCUCAGCGUUUCACCAGAAACAAAUUGCCAAUUUUGUUGAUGCAAGCACGUUCUCAAACAACUUGAAACUACUCCCAAACACCAACAGCCAUGUGAGAAAGAGAUGAAACGCAGUUUGUGGAAAGUAAAUUCUUGAUUAUGUUGGAAUUAAAGGGUACAUACUUUGCUGCACUUUCAAGAACUACAGAUAAAUUUGGGAGAGUGGAGAUGACUAUAUGGAUCGUGUCCUCAAAGACCUCUGAGGCCACCUUGGGAAGUUAAGUCUUCUGGAAAAACAUCACAUGAUUCACCUUCACCUACCUAAGUUUCCAUGAAGACAGUCCUCUUAUAAGAAAAUUA
rnacentral:lncRNA from 10 species